GAAAAACCUUACCCACCUUUGACAUGUACGGAACCCUUUAGAGAUAGAGGGGCGCUCGAAAGAGAGCCGUAACACAGGUGCUGCAUGGCUGUCGUCAGCUCGUGUCGUGAGAUGUUGGGUUAAGUCCCGCAACGAGCGCAACCCUUUGUCAUUAGUUGCUACAUUCAGUUGGGCACUCUAAUGAGACUGCCGGUGACAAGCCGGAGGAAGGUGGGGAUGACGUCAAGUCCUCAUGGCCCUUAUAGGUGGGGCUACACACGUCAUACAAUGGGCUAGGGUACAAAGGGUUAGCCAACCGGCGAGGGGAGCCAAUCCAUAAGCCAGUCGUAGUCCGGAUCGUAGUCUGCAACUCGACUACGUGAAGUCGGAAUCGCUAGUAAUCGUGGAUCAGCAUGUCACGGUGAAUACGUUCCCGGGUCUU
rnacentral:rRNA from 1 species